UACGGGGGGGGCAAGCGUUGUUCGGAAUUACUGGGCGUAAAGGGCGCGUAGGCGGCCUGUUAAGUCACACGUGAAAUCCCUCGGCUCAACCGGGGAACUGCGUGUGAUACUGGCGGGCUUGAAUUCGGGAGAGGGAUGUGGAAUUCCAGGUGUAGCGGUGAAAUGCGUAGAUAUCUGGAGGAACACCGGUGGCGAAGGCGGCAUCCUGGACCGGCAUUGACGCUGAGGCGCGAAAGCCAGGGGAGCAAACGGG
rnacentral:rRNA from 1 species